GGCCUUUCUAGAAUGUUUCUUUAGCUCUUUAGGGGGAAGUGAUCUUGUGUUGGGUCUCCACCAUCCCCCUCACCUUG